AAAGAUUUUCAUGAUAGAGUUUAGUGUGUUUUCUCUUCAUAGCGGAAACUGUAGAAGGAAUAGGAAGGAACGUAAAGAUUUUCAUGAUAGAGUUUAGUGUGUUUUCUCUUCAUAGCGGAAACUGUAGAGGGAAUAGGAAAGUAAAGCGUCAUAUAAAAGGGAAAACAGGAAGAAAAGCGUGAUCAAGAAGCAAAGCCGUAUCAGAUAAGGAAAUAAAGAGAUGAAAAGUGAUAGAAAAAAAUGAUUGAUAUAGAAGAAAAGAGAAACUAGGGAGACAAAAAGUUAUAUAAAAAAGGGAAAGGAGGAAGAAGAGACGUAAGCAGUAAGUCAAGUUGUAAUAGAAUGAACGAAGGAAAGAGGAAAGGAACAAAAGUGACAAAUCUAUGGACGAAACUUUAGAGGGAGUCGGAAAAGUUGGAGUUAAUGAAUAUGGAAUGCAGGAAGAAGUUGUAAAUAGUAAAAAAAAUCGUAACAGUAAGAACGUAGGAAAGAGGAAAGGAGCAAAAAAGUUAUUGAAAUUUAUAGAAGAAACUUUAGAGGGAGUCGGAAAAGUUGGAGUUAAUGAAGAUGGAAAUUAGGAAGAAGUUGUAAGCAGUAAAAAAAAUCGUAACAGUAAGAACGUAGGAGAGAGGAAAGGAGCAAAAAAGUUAUUGAAAUUUAUAGAAGAAACUUUAGAGGGAGUCGGAAAAGUUGGAGUUAAUGAAGAUGGAAAUUAGGAAGAAGUUGUAAGCAGUAAAAAAAUAAAUUCGUAACACAAAUAACGUAAGAGAGAGGAAAAGAGUAAAAGUUAUUGAAAUUUAUAGAAGAAACUUUAGAGGGAGUCGGGAAAGUUGGAGUUAAUGAAUAUGGAAAUUAGGAAGAAGUUGUAAGCAGUAAAAAAAAUCGUAACAGAAGGGACGCAAGGGAGAGGAAAA